GCCUACGGGGGGCAGCAGUGAGGAAUAUUGGUCAAUGGGCGGGAGCCUGAACCAGCCAAGUCGCGUGAGGGAAGACGGUCCUAUGGAUUGUAACCCUCUUUUGUCGGGGAGCAAAGAGGCCACGUGUGGUCAAAAGCGAGAGUACCCGAAGAAAAAGCAUCGGCUAACUCCGUGCCAGCAGCCGCGGUAAUACGGAGGAUGCGAGCGUUAUCCGGAUUUAUUGGGUUUAAAGGGUGCGUAGGCGGGACGGUAAGUCAGCGGUAAAAAUGCGGAGCUCAACUACGUCGAGCCGUUGAAACUGCCGU
rnacentral:rRNA from 1 species